UUGAACGCUGGCGGCUGCUUAACACAUGCAAGUCGAACGGAGUGGAGAACGGGUGAGUAACGCGUGAGCAACCUGCCUAUGACAGUGGGAUAGCCUCGGGAAACCGGGAUUAAUACCGCAUAGUCAUAGAGUGGCUCGCGUCAGAUUCGCUAGUUGUUGAGAUAACAGCCCACCAAGGCGACGAUCAGUAGCCGGUCUGGGAGGAUGAACGGCAACAUUGGAACGGGGACACGGUCCAAACUCCUACGGGAGGCAGCAGUGGGGAAGAUUGCACAAUGGGGGAAACCCUGAUGCAGCGACGCCGCGUGAACGAAGAAGGUAGUCGUAUCGUAAAGUUCUGUCCUAUGGGAAGCAGUACCAUAGAAGAAAGCUCCGGCUAAAUACGUGCCAGCCGCCGCGGUAAUAC
rnacentral:rRNA from 1 species